rnacentral:rRNA from 1 species
AUUGAACGCUGGCGGCAUGCCUUACACAUGCAAGUCGAACGGUAACAGGUCUUCGGAUGCUGACGAGUGGCGAACGGGUGAGUAAUACAUCGGAACGUGCCCGAGAGUGGGGGAUAACGAGGCGAAAGCUUUGCUAAUACCGCAUACGAUCUCAGGAUGAAAGCAGGGGACCGCAAGGCCUUGCGCUCACGGAGCGGCCGAUGGCAGAUUAGGUAGUUGGUGGGAUAAAAGCUUACCAAGGCGACGAUCUGUAGCUGGUCGGAGGGGAAGAACAGCCACCAUGGGACCGAGGCACGGCCCAGACUCCUACGGGAGGGAGCAGUUGGGAAUUUUGGACAAUGGGCGCAAGCCUGAUCCAGCCAUGCCGCGUGCAGGAUGAAGGCCUUCGGGUUGUAAACUGCUUUUGUACGGAACGAAAAGACUCUGGUUAAUACCUGGGGUCCAUGACGGUACCGUAAGAAUAAGCACCGGCUAACUACGUGCCAGCAGCCGCCGCAGUAA